rnacentral:rRNA from 1 species
UACAGAGGUGGCAAGCGUUGUUCGGAAUUACUGGGCGUAAAGGGCGCGUAGGCGGUUCGUUAAGUCCUGUGUGAAAUCCCCCGGCUCAACUGGGGAACUGCACAGGAAACUAGCGGGCUUGAGUUCGGGAGAGGGAAGCGGAAUUCCCGGUGUAGCGGUGAAAUGCGUAGAGAUCGGGAAGAACACCGGUGGCGAAAGCGCUCUGCUGGGCCACAACUGACACUCAGGGACGAAAGCUAGGGGAGCGAAAGGG